GGAAAUUCCCACACGAUCUUACUUCGGGGAGGCUGAGCAGUGGCCUUACAAAUUCUCUUCGUCCGGGCAGUUCGUCGCUCGGCUCGCAGGGCUGGAUGUUCCGGGAUGGCGGCUCGCACCAUGGUGUAAUAAGACAAGUGAAUCAUUCCCGUGGAUGCGCAGUAGUACGCGCUUCGAUCAAUCGCGUUUGGGUCCAAUGCACCCGCAAAAUUUGAAUACGCAAACAAGUACAUAUAAUUAAAAUGGAUUUCUAAUUAAGAUUUGUGAAAGAUUAAUGUAAAAAAUACGUGGAAUUAGUGGUGAGCUAAACAAUAACGUAAUGAGACAAGUAUUCAUUUGGAUCCAUGGAUGCGCAGUAGUACGGAUCUCGAUCAACCAUAUUUAAAUCCAAAUACUAAAAGAUUGCUGUCAGAUUGCUGUCAGAUUGCUAUCAGAUUGCUGUCAGAUUGUGUUAUCAAGAAACCAUGCCAGCGUGUUGUGUGCACAAUUGCAAAAGUCGCACAGACUGUACGUACACAAGAAAUAUAAAAUUGUUUCGUUUCCCAAAAGAAUUAACUAUACGCCAGCAAUGGCUUGAAGGCUGUAGAAGAAAUGAAAAAGAAAUAAAAAUUGAUUCUGCAAGAAUAUGCAAUCUUCAUUUUGAAGAGGAUUGUUUUGAAAUGAAGUGGACAAAGCCACGUUCAACAAAUAUACCAAAGAAACAGAUGUGUAGGUUGAAAAAGAAUUCUAUACCUACUUUAAUGUUAAACGUGGAACAAAGACGAAGAAAAACUAGAGAUGAAACAGAUAUAAUAGCAAGUAAAAAGAUAAA